GUGAAACUAACUCUGCCACAAGCAUGAGGAAACCGGAACACAGGCAUCACCUCCUACAGUAGUUUUCCACUCAUCGUAUUCCAAUAAAGUUUGGGAAGUUUACAGUGAUUAACAUCAACCUGAGAAUGAAGUUGGACCCCUCCCCAGACACUUAAAGCCAUGGUGACUGUCUCCCAAGGCAGCGUGUACACGUGUGAACAGCCAGCUAUUGUUUUGCUGAUCCUGAGCAAAGCGUAGUCAAGGCAGAAUGGCUUCAUCCCUUCCUUGGAGAGGAUUGUGCCACUUUAAGAACACCAAGUGGGAGGUGAUAUAGGCACUGCUGUACAAACAAGUACCUGUGCAUGCUGCCACACUCACCAGAGCCUCACACAGCUGAGGGGAUGCUGCCCUCGCCCUCCCUGGUUUGUCUGGUAGGUUGAACACCACCUUCUCUAACGUGUGGUUUUGCUGCCUGACAGAAGAGGGUCACCCAGAGUGACUCGAUUUUAUCUACAAGACUCGCAAGACACCUUGAGGACGCUGAGAAGGCGAGAGUGGACUGAAAAGAGCUGAAAGACUACGGGACCCGCAAGCUUUAGGGAAAGCCAGAACUUAUUUCAGCUUCAGCCUCUUGGCAUGAAGGAAACCAUGUUGGAGACGAACCUGGCCCUAUGGGAAAUAAUGCUGGUCAUUUUUGCUGCCGUGCUGAUAAUGAGUUUCCUCAUGUUUCUGCCCCCCGCUGCAGUGGUGAUCUGGAGAAUGAAGCAUGUGCCACAGAUCUCGCUGCAUGGCUCUGUGUGAGGCAGCCCUGGCACGAGCCGUGACACCGCCGAUCCCUUGAAAGGAUGGUUCAGAAUGAUGACAGCUCUCAGGGUCACUCUUACCGCCUAGGAUCCAUCCAAAGGCAAUAGGUUUUCCAGCCUAUUGCUGCUAAGUUCCUGUGGAAAGAGAACAUGUAUAGUUUUGUCCUCAUCUACCACAGUUCUCAGCACUUUGCCUUCCAUUCUUCGGCUAUGUUGUAAUUACUGUUGUUGGCUUAGUUCCUAGACCGACUUCUUCUCUUGCAUUAUAAUGGACUGAAAAUAAGACUGGAAGAGAAGCAAGCAUGAUACAGCAUUGCAUUCCCUUAAUUUCAGGAAAGCCUCCCUUUCUACUAGUUACACUGUAAAUAUUAUCAAAGCCUUGAGCUGAUGUGACUGUCAGUUAUGCAGGUGGACAUACCAAAAGCUCGGAAUGUACUCCAGGAAGGUAGUGGUUUGGUCUGGUUUUACCAUGAAACCUAAAAAAACCCCAAAACCCGAACCCAUGACAAAUGGGGUAAUAAAUAAGCAUCUUGUGCUUCUCUCACCUGAUCUGAAAAUUCGCUAGCCUAAAAUGUUUUUCAUUUCUUUCCUUAUGCAUGAAUUUCUUGUCUCUGCAAAUCCCGAGUGCCAGAACACAAAGCCCUCAGCAUCCCAGGGUUAGGGCAGGAGCGUGAGGGAUGGCCCGAUGCUCAGACAUGCCUGGCCAGACACUGGCUCGAAGUUAAUGCAAACAUAGAGCAACUAUUUGCCUGAACUACAUUAUGCAAAUUUACUCUGGGAAAUAAUGUGAUUAAGAUUACUUUAGUUUUUAACUGUUGUAUAGGUUUAUUGGUGCAGCUUCCCUUUCUCAUAUAUAAAUAAUAGCUUGGACGGCGGGAAUAGAACAAAACUGUUUCUCUGCAAGUUUAUGAAAAAAAACAACCACCCGAACAACCCAAUCUCCAGCCUAAUGUCAUAUUCAUGCCAGAUCAAAUUAAAGCUUUCCAGUCUAAUUCUUCCACACUGUGGGACGCUCAUUAGAAGGAUUUCUGAGGCACAGAAGUAACAGUUUCUGUCAGUUUACAAGAGCAAUGGGUUUGAUUUCCUCAUGAAAUCCAAUGCUGGGCUGCUUUGCUUUUGUUGGUUGGUUUGGAAAGCCACUAGAAUUGCUUAAUAUAACUCAGAGGAAAAUGGUUUUUAGCACCAGUAGGAAAAUGAUACUGGGAAGUGCUCAGUGCUUCAGCUAUUUUAUUUGAGCAUCAGCAGAUAAUGAAUUGGCUGGAAAUGACUCAAAGACAUUAUCAUUUCAUUUGAUAGAGAUUAUUUGUUUGCCAGAAAUAAACAAACCCACCAGUGAUUGAAAAACGAUGCUUUUCUUUAAGACUACAGCACUUUUGUCUCCAACACAAUGACUUAAGCUACUGCCUCAUCAUUUAUAAGCAGCCAACUCAUCCCUUUGUUGGUGUAAUUGCCUGCUACACUCAUAGUCAUAUGACUGUCUGGUCCCAGGCCCAAAAGCAACCGAUGGUUUUUUUGCUAAUGAUGACUGCAUUCUGAGCCUGAAAGAUAAUGGGUAAUUUUAUAUAUCUGAAUCAUUUCACUGACUGACGAGGUAAAGGUCAAUUAUACACCACGUACCGCAUAACUGUGCUGUGUCUGAGAGAUUCACAGGAAUAGGGAAAAGGUAAAGAAGAGAGAGGAAACACAAACAGAUGAGCUGGCUGCCUUCAGAUCUACGGCGUCAGUGUUUGCUCAACAGAAGAAAAUUAAAACAAAACCUCAAGUACGGAUUCCACUGAAAAACAAGCAAGCAGUAACUAAGUUUCUUGUUUAGAUUUCAUAAUAAUUCACAUGCUUGUCCGUUCUGUAGCUACAGCUCCACACAAAUAAACAGGAUCACCAGA